CGGGUGCACUGAUCCGGCCGGGCCUUUCCCUCUGUGGAACCCCAUGGCCUUCACUGGCUGUGCGGGGGAAACAGGACUUUUACUGUGAAAAAAUUAGAGUGCUCCAGGCAGGCCUAUGCUCGAAUACAUUAGCAUGGAAUAAUAGAAUAGGACGCGUGGUUCUAUUUUGUUGGUUUCUAGGACCGCCGUAAUGAUUAAUAGGGACAGUGGGGGGCAUCAGUAUUCAAUUGUCAAAGGUGAAAUUCUUGGAUCUAUUGAAGACUAACUACUGCGAAAGCAUUUGCCAAGGAUGUUUUCAUUGGUAAGGAACGAAAGUUAGGGGAUCGAAGACGAUCAGAUACCGUCGUAGUCUUAACUAUAAACUAUGCCGACUAGGGAUCGGACGAUGUUAUUUCUUGACGCGUUCGGCACCUUUUCGAGAAAUCAAAGUGCUUGGGCUCCAGGGGGAGUAUGGUCGCAAAGGCUGAAACUUAAAGAAAUUGACAGAAGGGCACCACCAGGGGAUAACGUCGACUGCUUAAGCCGCAGGAGAAAUCUGCUCCUAAAAGCCGCCCGAAAGGGUCAGGUGGUUGUCCAGGCGCGCGCGCGCCCAAGUGCCAAAGGCUAGUCUCCCACUGCGGGAGGCGACACCCUCAAAUUGCGGGGAACUCCUAAAGCUCCUGCUCCAAAGCCGGCGCGCGAAAGCGGCCGGUGGCCAGGUUAAUAGCCUCGGGUAGUGGAACAACGCAGGAGAUGCGACAAUGGACGAUCCGCAGCCAAGCCCCUACCGGCGCGUCCGCCGCGCCCACGGGGAAGGUUCAGAGACUUGACGGGGGUGGGUAGGCCGAAAACGAAGAGCCUGCUUAAGAUAAAGUCCGGCCCUGCGCGAAAGCGUCGGGGGGUUCAAACGGGAACCUGCGGCUUAAUUUGACUCAACACGGGGAAACUCACCAGGUCCAGACACAGUGAGGAUUGACAGAUUGAGAGCUCUUUCUUGAUUCUGUGGGUGGUGGUGCAUGGCCGUUCUUAGUUGGUGGAGUGAUUUGUCUGCUUAAUUGCGAUAACGAACGAGACCUUAACCUGCUAAAUAGCCCGUACUGCUCUGGCAGUUCGCCGGCUUCUUAGAGGGACUAUCGG
rnacentral:rRNA from 1 species